AACGAACGCUGGCGGCGUGCCUAACACAUGCAAGUCGAGCGCGAAUAGGGGCAACCCUUAGUAGAGCGGCGCACGGGUGCGUAACACGUGGAUAAUCUGCCUGGAUGCCUGGGAUAACCAGUCGAAAGAUUGGCUAAUACCGGAUAAGCCCACGGUCUCUUCGGAGGCUGAGGGAAAAGGUGGCCUCUGUAUACAAGCUAUCACAACCAGAUGAGUCCGCGGCCCAUCAGCUAGUUGGCUGGGUAAUGGCCCACCAAGGCGACGACGGGUAGCUGGUCUGAGAGGACGAUCAGCCACACUGGAACUGAGACACGGUCCAGACUCCGACGGGAGGCAGCAGUGGGGAAUUUUGCGCAAUGGGCGAAAGCCUGACGCAGCAACGCCGCGUGUGUGAUGAAGGUCUUUGGAUUGUAAAGCACUUUCGACCGGGACGAAACCGUAAAGCCUAAUACGCUUUGCCUUGACGGUACCGGGAGAAGAAGCACCGGCUAACUCUGUGCCAGCCGCCGCCGUAAGAC
rnacentral:rRNA from 1 species